rnacentral:rRNA from 1 species
UACGAAGGGGGCUAGCGUUGCUCGGAAUCACUGGGCGUAAAGGGUGCGUAGGCGGGUCUUAAGUCAGGGGUGAAAUCCUGGAGCUCAACUCCAGAACUGCCUUUGAUACUGAAGAUCUUGAGUUCGGGAGAGGUGAGUGGAACUGGCGAGUGUAGAGGUGAAAUUCGUAGAUAUUCGCAAGAACACCAGUGGCGAAGGCGGCUCACUGGACCGGAACUGACGCUGAGGCGGCGAAAAGCGGUGGGGAGCAAACGGGG